UGGGGAAUAUUGGACAAUGGGCGAAAGCCUGAUCCAGUCAUGCCGCGUGUGUGAAGAAGGUCUUCGGAUGGUAAAGCACUUUAAGUUGGGAGGAAGGGCAGUAAGCGAAUACCUUGCUGUUUUGACGUUACCGACAGAAUAAGCACCGGCUAACUCUGUGCCAGCAGCCGCGGUAAUACAGAGGGUGCAAGCGUUAAUCGGAAUUACUGGUCGUAAAGCGCGCGUAGGUGGUUCGUGGAGUUGAAUGUGAAAGCCCCGGGCUCAACCUGGGAACUGAAUCCAGAACUGGCGGGCUGGAGUAGGGCAGAGGGUGGUGGAAUUUUCUGUGUAGCGGUGAGAUGCGUAGAUAUAGGAAGGAACAAAAGUGGCGAAGGCGACCACCUGGGCUCAUACAGACGCUGAGGUGCGAAAGCGUAGGGAGCAAACAGG
rnacentral:rRNA from 1 species